rnacentral:lncRNA from 1 species
UAUCUUAAUAAUGGUUUCGGAAACCCAUAUUAUGUUCAAACAUUGAAUCACCAUUUAGUUGUAGCUAGCAAUCUUCGAAUUAAUUGAAACUAAGACUAUCUCAAAGAUGGUUUCUUCAAAGUCAACCAUUCUCUUUGAUUGUAGUCACCUUAAGCUACCAAUUAGCUUAUGAAGGUUUCAUUAUUUCGGGUCAAAUGGUACUUUACCAUUUCCUUGAGUAUGUAUCAUAUAUACACUCAAUGUAGUCAUAAGAAUUUUCAUUCUUAUUUCUUUCGAAUUAAGAGGUGCAACUCUAUGACAUAGUCAUAAAGUUCAAACCAUUCAACUGAGACGGUUUAUAAAUCCUUCUCGACUACCUUGGAGCUUUUGGCAUAGGAACUAGGUUGUUAUAUUUGUUGAUUACUUUCUUGUCUCUCAAAGAACCCAUUCUUUGAGUUCUAUCUCUCGUUCAUUUGCAUCUUAGGCAAAUCACAUUGUAGGAUUACAAUGAACUUCCCAACAAAACAACAUUUGUUAGUUGGAUUAUAGAAACGAUAUCCAAAAGUUAAUUUAAGGAUAUCCCACAAGAUUGUUAUCAAACAAAUAUUGCUUAUUAGCACACAACCUCAAAUCUUAACAUGCUUAAGAUUUGUCUUUCUUUCCAACUACAUCUUAUGGAGUUAUGAAAAUUUUGGAAGAUCUUCUAAUUGACAAUCAUAUUGUUUUUAGAAGUAUAUAUCCUAUAUAUGGGUAAUAGAUAACAUCUAACGAACUAAAUCUUAUUUGAGUUCGUUCUUCUCCUAAUGGAGAAAUACAUUAUCUUAUGAUGCUAUUUU